GACGAACGCUGGCGGCGCGCUUAACACAUGCAAGUCGAGCGAGAACCAGUCCUUCGGGACUGGGGAAAGCGGCGAACGGGUGAGUAACACGUGGGUAAUCUGCCCUCGGCACUGGGAUAGCCCGGGGAAACCCGGAUUAAUACCGGAUAGCCUUUCGAGCCUUCGGGCUCGUCAGAAAAGGUGGCUUCGGCUUCCGGCUGAGGAUGAGCCCGCGGCGGAUUAGCUUGUUGGGGGGGUAAUGGCCCACCAAGGCGACGAUCCGUAGCUGGUCUGAGAGGACGAUCAGCCACACUGGGACUGAGACACGGCCCAGACUCCUACGGGAGGCAGCAGUGGGGAAUCUUGCGCAAUGGGCGAAAGCCUGACGCAGCGACGCCGCGUGCGGGAAGAAGGCCUUCGGGUUGUAAACCGCUUUCAGGAGGGACGAAGCCACUCGGGUUAAUAGACCAGAGGGUGACGGUACCUCCAGAAGAAGCCCCGGCUAACUACGUGCCAGCCGCCGCGGUAAUAC
rnacentral:rRNA from 1 species